GUGGAGUGCGGCGACCGAUCGUCCGUGUCAAGCGUUGCGUCGCCAGGGUUGUGCCGUCGCAGGAUAGCAUGUCCCGGGCGGUCAAGGAGUGGUGUACGGCUCAGGACCGAAAGGGAGCAGGCAAAAACCACCGCGCGACACAGUGGCCGCAUAGCGCUCGUGAGCACUCGC
rnacentral:SRP_RNA from 1 species